rnacentral:rRNA from 1 species
CCUACGGGAGGCAGCAGUGGGGGAUAUUGGACAAUGGGGGGAACCCUGAUCCAGCGACGCCGCGUGAGUGAAGAAGUAUUUCGGUAUGUAAAGCUCUGUUAGCAGGGAAGAAAGAAAUGACGGUACCUGACCAAGAAGCCCCGGCUAACUACGUGCCAGAAGCCGCGGUAAUACGUAGGGGGCAAGCGUUAUCCGGAAUUACUGGGUGUAAAGGGAGCGUAGACGGUUAAGUAAGUCUGGAGUGAAAGGCCGGGGCCCAACACCGGGACUGCUCUGGAAACUAUUGAACUUGAGUGCAGGGGAGGUAAGCGGAAUGCCUAGUGUAGCGGUGAAAUGCGUAGAUAUUAGGAGGAACACCAGUGGCGAAGGCGGCUUACUGGACUGUAACUGACGUUGAGGCUCGAAAGCGUGGGGAGCAAACAGGAUUAGAUACCCCUGUAGUC